UGCCCAGACUCCUACGGGAGGCAGCAGUGAGGAAUAUUGGUCAAUGGACGAGAGUCUGAACCAGCCAAGUAGCGUGAAGGAUGACUGCCCUAUGGGUUGUAAACUUCUUUUAUAUGGGAAUAAAAUGUUCCACGUGUGGGAUUUUGUAUGUACCAUAUGAAUAAGGAUCGGCUAACUCCGUGCCAGCAGCCGCGGUAAUACGGAGGAUCCGAGCGUUAUCCGGAUUUAUUGGGUUUAAAGGGAGCGUAGGUGGAUUGUUAAGUCGGUUGUGAAAGUUUGCGGCUCAACCGUAAAAUUGCAGUUGAAACUGGCAGUCUUGAGUACAGUAGAGGUGGGCGGAAUUCGUGGUGUAGCGGUGAAAUGCUUAGAUAUCACGCAGAACCCCGAUUGCGAAGGCAGCCUUCCGGCGCCCUACUGACGCUGAGGCACGAAAGUGCGGGGAUCGAACAGGAUUAGAUACCCUCGUAAAG
rnacentral:rRNA from 1 species